rnacentral:tRNA from 1 species
GCUGGAGUAGCUCAGCUGGUAGAGCAGCGGUAUCGUAAACCGUCGGUCAAGGGUUCAAUUCCCUUCUCCAGCU